rnacentral:lncRNA from 1 species
GUUCAACUGCCUGCUCACCACCUUGCAAAGGAAAAGUAAAAGGAUCCCUGCAAGCUUUACUGGCGCUGUGGCCGUGCCUGCUACUAUAUAAGCUGAGGGUGUCUCCUUUCCGAUAUCUCACUUCUUUCCUGGGUGGUUGGACCGGUAACACUAUUUGCGAAAUAACAUUUAUAAUUGUCAGCUGCAUGUUAUUCAGCCUUGACCACCUGGUUAAAACCGAC